AACGAACGCUGGCGGCAUGCCUAACACAUGCAAGUCGAACGCCCCGCAAGGGGAGUGGCGGACGGGUGAGUAACGCGUGGGAACCUGCACUUCAGUGGGGGAUAACGACGGGAAACUGUCGCUAAUACCGCAUACGCCCUACGGGGGAAAGAUUUAUCGCUGAAGGAUGGGCCCGCGUCGGAUUAGCUAGUUGGUGAGGUAACGGCUCACCAAGGCGACGAUCCGUAGCUGGUCUAAGAGGAUGAUCAGCCACACUGGGACUGAGACACGGCCCAGACUCCUACGGGAGGCAGCAGUGGGGAAUAUUGGACAAUGGGGGAAACCCUGAUCCAGCAAUGCCGCGUGAGUGAUGAAGGCCUUAGGGUUGUAAAGCUCUUUCGACGGGGACGAUGAUGACGGUACCCGUAGAAGAAGCCCCGGCUAACUUCGUGCCAGCCGCCGCCGUAACAC
rnacentral:rRNA from 1 species